rnacentral:rRNA from 1 species
UUAAGCGACUAAGCGUACACGGUGGAUGCCCUGGCAGUCAGAGGCGAUGAAGGACGUGCUAAUCUGCGAUAAGCGUCGGUAAGGUGAUAUGAACCGUUAUAACCGGCGAUUUCCGAAUGGGGAAACCCAGUGUGAUUCGUCACACUAUCAUUAACUGAAUCCAUAGGUUAAUGAGGCGAACCGGGGGAACUGAAACAUCUAAGUACCCCGAGGAAAAGAAAUCAACCGAGAUUCCCCCAGUAGCGGCGAGCGAACGGGGAGCAGCCCAGAGCCUGAAUCAGUGUGUGUGUUAGUGGAAGCGUCUGGAAAGGCGCGCGAUACAGGGUGACAGCCCCGUACACAAAAAUGCACAUGCUGUGAGCUCGAUGAGUAGGGCGGGACACGUGGUAUCCUGUCUGAAUAUGGGGGGACCAUCCUCCAAGGCUAAAUACUCCUGACUGACCGAUAGUGAACCAGUACCGUGAGGGAAAGGCGAAAAGAACCCCGGCGAGGGGAGUGAAAAAGAACCUGAAACCGUGUACGUACAAGCAGUGGGAGCACGCUUAGGCGUGUGACUGCGUACCUUUUGUAUAAUGGGUCAGCGACUUAUAUUCUGUAGCAAGGUUAACCGAAUAGGGGAGCCGAAGGGAAACCGAGUCUUAACUGGGCGUUAAGUUGCAGGGUAUAGACCCGAAACCCGGUGAUCUAGCCAUGGGCAGGUUGAAGGUUGGGUAACACUAACUGGAGGACCGAACCGACUAAUGUUGAAAAAUUAGCGGAUGACUUGUGGCUGGGGGUGAAAGGCCAAUCAAACCGGGAGAUAGCUGGUUCUCCCCGAAAGCUAUUUAGGUAGCGCCUCGUGAAUUCAUCUCCGGGGGUAGAGCACUGUUUCGGCAAGGGGGUCAUCCCGACUUACCAACCCGAUGCAAACUGCGAAUACCGGAGAAUGUUAUCACGGGAGACACACGGCGGGUGCUAACGUCCGUCGUGAAGAGGGAAACAACCCAGACCGCCAGCUAAGGUCCCAAAGUCAUGGUUAAGUGGGAAACGAUGUGGGAAGGCCCAGACAGCCAGGAUGUUGGCUUAGAAGCAGCCAUCAUUUAAAGAAAGCGUAAUAGCUCACUGGUCGAGUCGGCCUGCGCGGAAGAUGUAACGGGGCUAAACCAUGCACCGAAGCUGCGGCAGCGACGCUUAUGCGUUGUUGGGUAGGGGAGCGUUCUGUAAGCCUGUGAAGGUGUACUGUGAGGUAUGCUGGAGGUAUCAGAAGUGCGAAUGCUGACAUAAGUAACGAUAAAGCGGGUGAAAAGCCCGCUCGCCGGAAGACCAAGGGUUCCUGUCCAACGUUAAUCGGGGCAGGGUGAGUCGACCCCUAAGGCGAGGCCGAAAGGCGUAGUCGAUGGGAAACAGGUUAAUAUUCCUGUACUUGGUGUUACUGCGAAGGGGGGACGGAGAAGGCUAUGUUGGCCGGGCGACGGUUGUCCCGGUUUAAGCGUGUAGGCUGGUUUUCCAGGCAAAUCCGGAAAAUCAAGGCUGAGGCGUGAUGACGAGGCACUACGGUGCUGAAGCAACAAAUGCCCUGCUUCCAGGAAAAGCCUCUAAGCAUCAGGUAACAUCAAAUCGUACCCCAAACCGACACAGGUGGUCAGGUAGAGAAUACCAAGGCGCUUGAGAGAACUCGGGUGAAGGAACUAGGCAAAAUGGUGCCGUAACUUCGGGAGAAGGCACGCUGAUAUGUAGGUGAAGUCCCUCGCGGAUGGAGCUGAAAUCAGUCGAAGAUACCAGCUGGCUGCAACUGUUUAUUAAAAACACAGCACUGUGCAAACACGAAAGUGGACGUAUACGGUGUGACGCCUGCCCGGUGCCGGAAGGUUAAUUGAUGGGGUUAGCGCAAGCGAAGCUCUUGAUCGAAGCCCCGGUAAACGGCGGCCGUAACUAUAACGGUCCUAAGGUAGCGAAAUUCCUUGUCGGGUAAGUUCCGACCUGCACGAAUGGCGUAAUGAUGGCCAGGCUGUCUCCACCCGAGACUCAGUGAAAUUGAACUCGCUGUGAAGAUGCAGUGUACCCGCGGCAAGACGGAAAGACCCCGUGAACCUUUACUAUAGCUUGACACUGAACAUUGAGCCUUGAUGUGUAGGAUAGGUGGGAGGCUUUGAAGUGUGGACGCCAGUCUGCAUGGAGCCGACCUUGAAAUACCACCCUUUAAUGUUUGAUGUUCUAACGUGGACCCGUAAUCCGGGUUGCGGACAGUGUCUGGUGGGUAGUUUGACUGGGGCGGUCUCCUCCUAAAGAGUAACGGAGGAGCACGAAGGUUGGCUAAUCCUGGUCGGACAUCAGGAGGUUAGUGCAAUGGCAUAAGCCAGCUUGACUGCGAGCGUGACGGCGCGAGCAGGUGCGAAAGCAGGUCAUAGUGAUCCGGUGGUUCUGAAUGGAAGGGCCAUCGCUCAACGGAUAAAAGGUACUCCGGGGAUAACAGGCUGAUACCGCCCAAGAGUUCAUAUCGACGGCGGUGUUUGGCACCUCGAUGUCGGCUCAUCACAUCCUGGGGCUGAAGUAGGUCCCAAGGGUAUGGCUGUUCGCCAUUUAAAGUGGUACGCGAGCUGGGUUUAGAACGUCGUGAGACAGUUCGGUCCCUAUCUGCCGUGGGCGCUGGAGAAUUGAGGGGGGCUGCUCCUAGUACGAGAGGACCGGAGUGGACGCAUCACUGGUGUUCGGGUUGUCAUGCCAAUGGCACUGCCCGGUAGCUAAAUGCGGAAGAGAUAAGUGCUGAAAGCAUCUAAGCACGAAACUUGCCCCGAGAUGAGUUCUCCCUGACUCCUUGAGAGUCCUGAAGGAACGUUGAAGACGACGACGUUGAUAGGCCGGAUGUGUAAGCGCAGCGAUGCGUUGAGCUAACCGGUACUAAUGAACCGUGAGGCUUAACCUU